AUCACUGCAUAUUCAGAUUUGCCU
rnacentral:siRNA from 1 species